GGGUGACGAGUGGCGGACGGGUGAGUAAUGUCUGGGAAACUGCCCGAUGGAGGGGGAUAACUACUGGAAACGGUAGCUAAUACCGCAUAACGUCGCAAGACCAAAGAGGGGGACCUUCGGGCCUCUUGCCAUCAGAUGUGCCCAGAUGGGAUUAGCUAGUAGGUGGGGUAACGGCCCACCAAGGCGACGAUCAGUAGCCGGUCUGAGAGGAUGACCAGCCACACUGGAACUGAGACACGGUCCAGACUCC
rnacentral:rRNA from 1 species